UACAGAGGAUGCAAGCGUUAUCCGGAAUGAUUGGGCGUAAAGCGUCUGUAGGUGGCUUUUUAAGUCCGCCGUCAAAUCCCAGGGCUCAACUCUGGACAGGCGGUGGAAACUACCAAGCUGGAGUACGGUAGGGGCAGAGGGAAUUUCCGGUGGAGCGGUGAAAUGCGUAGAUAUAGGGAAGAACACCAAUAAGGCGAAGGCAGUUAACUAUUCUAUUCCUGACAUUGAGGCAUGAAAGCGUGGGGAGCAAAACGG
rnacentral:rRNA from 1 species